rnacentral:rRNA from 1 species
UACGUAGGGUGCAAGCGUUGUCCGGAAUUAUUGGGCGUAAAGAGCUCGUAGGCGGUCUGUCGCGUCGAAUGUGAAAACCCGGGGCUCAACCCCGGGCCUGCAUUCGAUACGGGCAGACUAGAGUUCGGUAGGGGAGUCUGGAAUUCCUGGUGUAGCGGUGAAAUGCGCAGAUAUCAGGAGGAACACCGGUGGCGAAGGCGGGACUCUGGGCCGAUACUGACGCUGAGGAGCGAAAGCAUGGGGAGCAAACAGG